rnacentral:rRNA from 1 species
GGCGAACGCUGGCGGCGUGCUUAACACAUGCAAGUCGAACGGAAAGGCCCUGCUUUUGUGGGGUGCUCGAGUGGCGAACGGGUGAGUAACACGUGAGUAACCUGCCCUUGACUUUGGGAUAACUUCAGGAAACUGGGGCUAAUACCGGAUAGGAGCUCCUGCUGCAUGGUGGGGGUUGGAAAGUUUCGGCGGUUGGGGAUGGACUCGCGGCUUAUCAGCUUGUUGGUGGGGUAGUGGCUUACCAGGGCUUUGACGGGUAGCCGGCCUGAGAGGGUGACCGGCCACAUUGGGACUGAGAGACGGCCCAGACUCCUACGGGAGGCAGUAGUGGGGAAUAUGGCACAAUGGGCGGAAGCCUGAUGCAGCAGCGCCGCGUGCGGGAUGACGGCCUUCGGGUUGUAAACCGCUUUCGCCUGUGACGAAGCGUGAGUGACGGUAAUGGGUAAAGAAGCACCGGCUAACUACGUG